rnacentral:rRNA from 1 species
GUAAACGAUGUGUGUUAGACGUNGGAAAUUUAUUUUCAGUGUCGCAGGGAANCCGAUAAACACACCGCCUGGGGAGUACGACCGCAAGGUAAAACUCAAAUGAAUUGACGGGGACCCGCACAAGUAGUGGAGCAUGUGGUUUAAUUCGAAGAUACGCGCAGAACCUUACCAACACUUGACAUGUUCGUCGCGACUCUAAGAGAUUAGAGUUUUCGGUUCGGCCGGACGAAACACAGGUGCUGCAUGGCUGUCGUCAGCUCGUGUCGUGAGAUGUUGGGUUAAGUCCCGCAACGAGCGCAACCCUCACUUUUAGUUGCCAUCAUUAAGUUGGGCACUCUGAAAGAACUGCCAGUGAUAAGCUGGAGGAAGGUGGGGAUGACGUCAAGUCCUCAUGGCCCUUACGUGUUGGGCUACACACGUGCUACAAUGGCAUCUACAACAGGAAGCAAAACGGCAACGUUAAGCAAAUCCCGAAAAGAUGCCUCAGUUCGGAUUGCACUCUGCAACUCGAGUGCAUGAAGCUGGAAUUACUAGUAAUCGUGGAUCAGCGUGCCACGGUGAAUGCGUUCCCGGGUCUUGUACACACCGCCCGUCACACCAUGGGAGUUGGUUCUACCUUAAGGCAAGGUUUUAAACCCUUGACCACGGUAUAGUCAGCGACUGGGGUGAAGUCGUAACAAGGUAAAUCGAAUUCCCGCGGCC